UGCUGAGUUCAGUCUGCGCCAUUACCUCGCUUCAGCACUGGAUGUUCCUUGAAGACCGACAGUUAUACUUAAAAACGAUUUUACAAAAGGUUUUUGGUUUUCUGAAAAGGCCACAGGCAGCUACAUUGUGGAACUGGUCUUCCAUUGAAUGUGGACGUGCAAAGACUGUGGGACUUCUGUUUCACGAAGAUCAGAACUCCUUAAACAUUAUAAGCUUGAACAUGGACAUUAUGGACGUCGGCAAUCUUAUCCAUGCAUCCACUUUAACUGUCCGUGUACAUGCAAGACCUGGAAAGCCCUGUUGACCCAUUUGUCAAGACAUCAUAAGCCAUACUCACCAGCUGAACUGACCUUGUUUAAGUGUCCCUUAUGCAAUUGCAAUCAGUGUUUAACUUAAAAAGACUAUUUUCAGCAUCUAGCUCAGCAUCUGAAAAACAGUGAAACUGUUAUUUGUGUGUUUCAGGGGUGUUCAUACCAAACUAAUAUAUAUGGUUCUUUUCGAACUCACAGAAGCAGAAAUCAUAAAGGUUGUUCAGCAAAUAAUUUAAAGCCUGAAAUACUCCAGAAAAACAUUGGUCUUCCUUUUGAAAGUCAUUCCUGGGAUAGUACAAGUGGUCAUAGUGAACCUUCGUGUGACUUGCGUUCAGGGGAAUCAAGCGAGUCUAAUUUUGAUAGUCAGGAUUUAAAUGAGUUGCAACAAUACAUUGAGCUCAAAGUUGCCUCUCUGUUACUGAAGCUAGAAUAUGUUCAUCUUGUUUCUAGUGUGGCUGUUGAUGAACUUUUACAAGAUUUUGACUAUUUAUUAAGCAGUGCUUCUGUUCCUCUUACCCAUCAAACCAUAGUUCAUUACUUAGUAAGCAGUAAGCAUCAAGUUGACGGAGCAGUUCUGACAGAGUUAGCAUCUAGUCUUUGUAAGUCAAAUCCAGUUA